UACGAAGGGUGCAAACGUUGCUCGGAAUUAUUGGGCGUAAAGCGCACGUAGGCGGCAUUGCAAGUCGGAUGUGAAAAUCCCCUCGGCUUAACCAAGGAAGUGCAUCCGAAACUGCAGUGCUUGAGUACUUAAGAGGAUCGCGGAAUUCCCGGUGUAGAGGUGAAAUUCGUAGAUAUCGGGAGGAACACCAGUGGCGAAGGCGGCGAUCUGGGAAGAUACUGACGCUGAGGUGCGAAAGCGUGGGGAGCAAACAGG
rnacentral:rRNA from 1 species